AACUUUCAACAACGGAUCUCUUGGUUCUGGCAUCGAUGAAGAACGCAGCGAAAUGCGAUAAGUAAUGUGAAUUGCAGAAUUCAGUGAAUCAUCGAAUCUUUGAACGCACAUUGCGCCCAUUAGUAUUCUAGUGGGCAUGCCUGUUCGAGCGUCAUUUCAACCCUCAAGCACU
rnacentral:rRNA from 1 species